CCUCAUCCCCCUCACUUGUGGGACACCUUGGACAUCGUAACUUGGUCGUGAGAAGCACUAAUCUAUUGAAUGAGCACCAGCAGGGACACCUGGAAUCCAUGCCGAGCACCACACAAACAUUUUUCAUGAAAAUCCCUCCAUCCUCAGAAAUGGGAUGAAUCAUUUUUACCUACUAAACCCAGAAUAAUUUUCGAUGUGAUGACAAGUAAUGGAAGAAGGGGCUCUGCAUGAUUCUGUGCCUAACCGAGUAGUCUAAUAACCAAGACUGAUGAUGCAAAGCCAAUGACCUAUUUAACGCUUCAUCCUUGCACCCUGACUUCUGCUCAGCAGUCUGAAGCAGCCCAGAGGACCUGAACCAGACGACUCGUUGAGGAAGUAAGUAAACUACCCCUACCCACGUCACGGCCCCCCUAUACAGAAGUGAGAGUAACUUCAAAAUUGGGUGGAAGGGUUUGCUACAAAGGCCUUUGGCCUCUUCCUGCCCAUGUUAAGCAACUCAGGCACACACUACUAGUGUCCUGGCAAGAAACUCUCUCACAAGAGCUGGAAGAAGACCAAAGAAGGCCAGAGCCUCCAAACAGAAGCUCAGUAGCAAAAGUGUUGGAGGGAGAGAAAUGAGGCAAUUACCCUGGGCUUACGGGCAGGUGACUCAGCAUGCCUGCAAGAGAGGAGCUGUUGAUUCUGGAGGAGCUGGGGUUCGUGCUACCAUGGGGCUGGUGGAGAGGAAGAGGGAGGUUUACUCCUCAAGAAAAAGGGCAUGGUCCGGAGUGCAAAAAAGGAAAUGGCUUUCUCUGCCAAGGGAUUUCUGGUUUCUCCAUCCUUGCCUAGGGUUAAACCCUGUGAAAAAGAAAAUGCCCAGCAGGUGGCAGCACCAGACAACUGCAGUAAAACAAGGCUGUAAGGCAAAGCCUUCCUCUGGCGUAUGCUGCACUGUGCCUUUCUCGGUGGGAUUUCAUUUAGCCAUCCGUGAAUAGCUCCCUACAAAGAAGUGAACAUUGAGUUCAUUUCUGUGUUUCCAGAACCUAGCACCGUGCCUGGCACAUUCUGCGUGUAUCUGUUGAUUGAGUGGAUCAAGUAAUCAAUUAUUUCUUUUUCAAUAAAUAAAAUUUUAAAAUUCCCCUAAACGAGAAAAAAGUCGUCAUUUGAAGUGGCCCUAUUCCUUUCUUCUUAUCCCAUCACUACUACUGUCAUGUUAAUUACAAAUUUAAUUAGUUUUAGCAAUAAUAAUAACAAAGCCCCAUGCUAGAUUAAUUCUCUACUCACCCUUGGGCCAACCUACAUCCUUAUUCUACUUAAUUAAACUUUCCCUGUCUGCAAGAGGGAGGAGAGAUGGGGGUAUAGGUAUGUGUAUACCUGAUUCACUUUAUUAUACAGCAG